UAAUGAAGACAUAAAAAGAGCCGGUGUUGCUAUCACCAGCCCUUCUAUGUAUAGCCGUUUAAGACGGUGACGCAGUAUAAAGUUAUUUAAUU
rnacentral:sRNA from 1 species